rnacentral:rRNA from 1 species
AUUGAACGCUGGCGGCAGGCCUAACACAUGCAAGUCGAGCGGAGCGGCGGACGGGCGAGUAAUGCCUAGGAAUCUGCCUGGUAGUGGGGGAUAACGUCCGGCAACGGGCGAUAAUACCGCAUACUCUCAGAUGAGCCUAGGUCGGAUUCGCUAGUUGGUGGGGUAAAGGCCUACCAUGGCGACGAUCCUUAACUGGUCUGAGAGGCUGAUCAGUCACACGGGAACUGAGACACGGUCAAAACUCCGACGGGAGGCCGAAGUGGUGAAUAUUGAACAAUGGGCGAAAGCCUGAUCGAGCCAUGCAGCGUGUGUGAAGAAGGUCUUCGGAUUGUAAAGCACUUUAAGUUGUGAGGCGGUACCAACAGAAUAAGCACCGGCUAACGUCGUGCCAGCCGCCGCGGUAAUAC